rnacentral:SRP_RNA from 1 species
GCCGGGCAUGGUGGCGCAUGCCUGUAAUCCCAACUACUCAGGAGGCUGAGGCAGGAGAAUCGCUUGAACCUGGGAAGCGGAGGUUGCAGUGAGCCGAGGUUGUGCCAUUGUAUUCCAGCCUGGGUGACAGAGCAAGACUCUGUCUCUA